rnacentral:rRNA from 1 species
UACGAAGGGGAGCUAGCGUUGUUCGGAUUUACUGGGCGUAAAGCGCACGUAGGCGGACUUAUUAAGCAGAGGUGAAAUCCCAAGGCUCAACCUUGGAACUGCCUUUGAUACUGGGGAUCUUGAGUCCGGGAGAGGUGAGUGGAACUGCGAGUGUAGAGGUGAAAUUCGUAGAUAAUUCGCAAGAACACCAGUGGCGAAAGGCGGCUCACUGGCCCGAUACUGACGCUGAGGCACGGAAAGCGUGGGGAGCAAACAGG